AUUACUUUGACAGAUAAAUGUAAUAAAAUUAGAAUUUAUUUAUGUAUAAAUUUAUACAAGUAAUU
rnacentral:tRNA from 2 species